AACUGUAAAGCUGAAGAAUGAUCGUACGUAGGUUCGCAUCGAUACAAGGAUCGUAUAAAGGUUUAUUAAGGAAAAUUGGAAGAUUCACAAGGAUGAUGUGAAAAAAUGAAAAAUAAGGUAAUGACUGAACUUAGGAUCGGAGUUGG